rnacentral:rRNA from 1 species
UCGGGAAUUUUGGGCAAUGGGCGAAAGCCUGAUCCAGCCAUGCCGCGUGUGUGAAGAAGGUCUUCGGAUUGUAAAGCACUUUAAGUUGGGAGGAAGGGCAGUUACCUAAUACGUGAUUGUUUUGACGUUACCGACAGAAUAAGCACCGGCUAACUCUGUGCCAGCAGCCGCGGUAAUACAGAGGGUGCAAGCGUUAAUCGGAAUUACUGGGCGUAAAGCGCGCGUAGGUGGUUAGUUAAGUUGGAUGUGAAAUCCCCGGGCUCAACCUGGGAACUGCAUUCAAAACUGACUGACUAGAGUAUGGUAGAGGGUGGUGGAAUUUCCUGUGUAGCGGUGAAAUGCGUAGAUAUAGGAAGGAACACCAGUGGCGAAGGCGACCACCUGGACUGAUACUGACACUGAGGUGCGAAAGCGUGGGGAGCAAACAGGAUUAGAUACCCACGUAGUCCCUGAGCGGGCUGGCAAGGCGCAU